rnacentral:lncRNA from 1 species
GAGGGCUUGACACGGCGCCUCCCACCACCACAUCCUCCUGCGUCGCUGCCUUCCACCGCAUCCGCUCGCGUCGCCGCCUCCUCUCGCUGUAGACACCGCCACCGCCUCACAUCGGAUCUGCCGGAGCAGCCACUUGUAGACGCAUCCGCGGCCGCCACUGACUUUCCCGGCGCCGCCUUCCUUCCUCCCAGUGCAGACAUCAGGGUUGAUAUACAUGAGAUUGGGUGCUUUUGUGAGGGACUUCUGUUUGCUGCACCAAGAAUGUUAUUGUGA